rnacentral:rRNA from 1 species
UACGUAGGGCGCAAGCGUUGUCCGGAAUUAUUGGGCGUAAAGAGCUCGUAGGUGGCUUGUCACGUCGGGUGUGAAAGCUUGGGGCUUAACUCCAGGUCUGCAUUCGAUACGGGCUGGCUAGAGGUAGGUAGGGGAGAACGGAAUUCCUGGUGUAGCGGUGAAAUGCGCAGAUAUCAGGAGGAACACCGGUGGCGAAGGCGGAUCUCUGGGCCUUACCCGACGCUCAGGUGCGAAAGCUAGGGGAGCGAACAGG